CGGCUAUAAGAGCGGUCGUGUGCUUUUGUUAAAAGAAUAUUCAUACAUUAAAUUAGUGAAAAUGCAAGAAUUUAAAUCCACUGAACACCAACACGUUCGCUACAACCCACUCAAAGAUGAAUGGGUGCUGGUGUCUCCUCACCGCUGUCUUCGACCCUGGAGCGGUCAGACGGAAGCUGAACCGGAGGAACAACCCCCGGAUCCGAUGAACCCUCUCCUGCCAGGAGCUACCAGGUCCAGUGGACAGCGCAAUCCACAAUAUACAUCAACCUACGUGUUCCCGAAUGACUUCCCUGCGUUGCUGGAGAGAGUGCCUGAACCACCGCCUUCUGAACAUCCUUUAUUCCGAUCCUCAGCUGCCAAGGGGACCUGCAGGGUGAUGUGUUUCCAUCCGGAUUCCACGAUGACAAUACCACUGAUGACUGUGGAUGAGAUACUCGCAGUUAUUAAUGAGUGGAUAAACCAAUUAACAGAGCUAGGACGCAAGUACACUUGGGUGCAAAUAUUUGAGAACAAGGGAGCCAUUAUGGGUUGCUCUAACCCUCACCCGCAUUGUCAGAUAUGGGCUUCUAGUUAUCUACCUAAUGAGCCUAGAGUUAAGGAGAGAUGCCAGAAGGAAUAUUACAUUAAAUUCAAGCGGCCAAUGCUUGUCGAUUAUGUACAACAAGAAUUAAUAAAUAAGGACCGCAUAGUAAUUCAGAACACGGAAUGGGUAGCCCUAGUACCCUACUGGGCAGUGUGGCCAUAUGAAACUAUGGUGUUACCAGUAAACGGCAAACCGCAACGUUUGACAGAUUUAAAUGACAAUCAGAAAAGAGACCUGGCUGACAUAAUGAAAAAAUUGAAUAUUAAGUACGAUAACUUGUUCAAAUGCUCUUUCCCGUAUAGUAUGGGUUUUCAUGGUGCCCCAACAGGCCCAUCAAAGACAGCCAGCGACUCACCCCACUGGCUUCUUCACGCCAUAUACUUACCACCUCUCUUACGAUCAGCAACUGUAAAGAAAUUCAUGGUAGGCUACGAAAUGUUAGCUCAGUCACAGAGAGAUUUGACUCCCGAACAAGCGGCACAAAAAUUAAGGGAAUGUGACGAUGUACAUUAUAAAAAUAAGAAAUAAAGUUGAAAAUAAGAAAUAUUAGGGCCCAUUUUUAGUGAAAAUAUAACGUUUUUUAUUAUUAUAUAAAAAAAAAUUGUUUACUGUCAAAAUUGAACGUGAAAAUUAUGGCGGGAAAUUUCACACACUAUUUGUUUAGUUUUUUUUAUUUGCAUCGCCAAAUUCGUUAUAGUCAAUUUAAAGAGGGUGCUAUUUUGUACAAAAUAAUAUACUAUUUUGUCAGUUCCUAAAUAAAAAAUUGUUGGUAAAAA
rnacentral:misc_RNA from 1 species